UUAUUCGGUAUCUUACUCUUUUUUUUUUGCGAGAACGGUAUCUUACUCUUAUGAUCAUAGGGUCCAAUCACUAAGGCGCAUGAUGCUCUGAGACAUAGCAAACCUAAAGAUUUAAGAGGUAAUUCAUUUAUUGAAGCGAUAGUUUGGUGUCCGGACCUGAAGGACAUUCUACAAACAUGCAUAUGUAAUUUUUUUCACCAAGAUGAUGUCUCUUAUCAAAUUCCAUGUUGGUGUUCUCUGGGGACAAUAGUGAGUCUAAACAUGUGAGUUCCUUGAAAACAUGACCUGAAGGACAUUCUACAAACAUGCAUAUGUAAUUUUUCCGCCAAGAUGAUGUCUCUUACCAAAUUCCAUGUUGGUGUUCUCCAGGGACAAUAUUGAGUCUAAACAUGGUGCAUUUCAGCAAGACAUUGCAUGGGUUGUGCCAUCCUUUCCUUACGCCAGCUUCGGAGCAGCUGGAGAAUGUGGACUCUGCAAUGAAGUUUCCAACGGUUAUCUGUAGUGUCUGGCUGGCCAUUGUGUUUGACCUAAAUUUCAUUGAAAGAAUCAAGGCAUGUAUACAUACUUGCUAAUUUUCUGUUGAUUUUUUUAGC